rnacentral:rRNA from 1 species
ACCAGACUCCUACGGGAGGCAGCAGUGAGGAAUAUUGGUCAAUGGGCGGGAGCCUGAACCAGCCAAGUCGCGUGAGGGAAGACGGUCCUACGGAUUGUAAACCUCUUUUGCCGGGGAGCAACGGGGUCCUUGCGAGGACCCGAUGAGAGUACCCGGAGAAAAAGCAUCGGCUAACUCCGUGCCAGCAGCCGCGGUAAUACGGAGGAUGCGAGCGUUAUCCGGAUUUAUUGGGUUUAAAGGGUGCGUAGGCGGGGCGGUUAGGCCGGGGGUAAAGCCCCGGGGCUAACCCCCGGAGAGCCGUUGAAACUGGCUGUCUUGAGAUGUCGAGAGGUAUGCGGAAUGCGCAGUGUAGCGGUGAAAUGCUUAGAUAUUGCGCAGAACUCCGAUUGCGAAGGCAGCAUACCGGCGGCGAUCUGACGCUGAGGCACGAAAGCGUGGGUAUCGAACAGGAUUAGAUACCCUGGUA